rnacentral:rRNA from 1 species
AUUGAACGCUGGCGGCAUGCCUUACACAUGCAAGUCGAACGGCAGCACGGGGGCAACCCUGGUGGCGAGUGGCGAACGGGUGAGUAACAUAUCGGAACAUACCCUAGAGUGGGGAUAACGUAGCGAAAGUUACGCUAAUACCGCAUACGAUCUAAGGAUGAAAGUGGGGGAUCUUCGGACCUCAUGCUCAUGGAGUGGCCGAUAUCUGAUUAGCUAGUUGGUGAGGUAAAGGCUCACCAAGGCGACGAUCAGUAGCUGGUUUGAGAGAACGACCAGCCACACUGGAACUGAGACACGGUCCAGACUCCUACGGGAGGCAGCAGUGGGGAAUUUUGGACAAUGGGGCAACCCUGAUCCAGCAAUGCCGCGUGAGUGAAGAAGGCC